GACGAACGCUGGCGGCGUGCUUAACACAUGCAAGUCGAACGUGAUUUUUAUGGAAUAGCCUUCGGGAUAGGAAAUAGAAUGAAAGUGGCGAACGGGUGAGUAACACGUGAGCAACCUACCUUACACAGGGGGAUAGCCGUUGGAAACGACGAUUAAUACCGCAUGAGACCACAGAACCGCAUGGUAAAGGGGUCAAAGAUUUAUCGGUGUAAGAUGGGCUCGCGUCUGAUUAGCUAGUUGGAAGGGUAAAGGCCUACCAAGGCGACGAUCAGUAGCCGGUCUGAGAGGAUGAACGGCCACAUUGGAACUGAGACACGGUCCAAACUCCUACGGGAGGCAGCAGUGGGGAAUAUUGCACAAUGGGGGAAACCCUGAUGCAGCGACGCCGCGUGAGCGAAGAAGGUUUUCGAAUCGUAAAGCUCUGUCCUAUGAGAAGAUAAUGACGGUAUCAUAGGAGGAAGCCCCGGCUAAAUACGUGCCAGCAGCCGCGGUAAUACGUAUGGGGCGAGCGUUGUCCGGAAUCAUUGGGCGUAAAGGGUACGUAGGCGGGUAAGCAAGUUAGAAGUGAAAUCCUAUAGCUCAACUAUAGUAAGCUUUUAAAACUGCUCAUCUUGAGGUAUGGAAGGGAAAGUGGAAUUCCUAGUGUAGCGGUGAAAUGCGCAGAUAUUAGGAGGAAUACCGGUGGCGAAGGCGACUUUCUGGCCAUAACCUGACGCUGAGGUACGAAAGCGUGGGUAGCAAACAGGAUUAGAUACCCUGGUAGUCCACGCCGUAAACGAUGAGUGUUAGGUGUCUGGAGUAAAUCUGGGUGCCGCAGCUAACGCAUUAAACACUCCGCCUGGGGAGUACGCGCGCAAGCGUGAAACUCAAAGGAAUUGACGGGGACCCGCACAAGCAGCGGAGCAUGUGGUUUAAUUCGACGCAACGCGAAGAACCUUACCAAGUCUUGACAUAUUACGGCGGAACUUAGAGAUAAGUUCUUAUGACUUCGGUCAACUGUAAUACAGGUGGUGCAUGGUUGUCGUCAGCUCGUGUCGUGAGAUGUUGGGUUAAGUCCCGCAACGAGCGCAACCCUUGUCUUAUGUUGCCAGCAUUUGGUUGGGGACUCAUGAGGGACUGCCGGGGUCAACUCGGAGGAAGGUGGGGAUGACGUCAAAUCAUCAUGCCCCUUAUGUCCAGGGCUUCACACAUGCUACAAUGGUCGGUACAACGCGCAGCGACACUGUGAGGUGGAGCGAAUCGCUGAAAGCCGGCCUUAGUUCGGAUUGGGGUCUGCAACUCGACCCCAUGAAGUCGGAGUCGCUAGUAAUCGCAGAUCAGCAACGCUGCGGUGAAUACGUUCCCGGGCCU
rnacentral:rRNA from 1 species